rnacentral:lncRNA from 1 species
ACUCGUCGAUAUAAUACAUAAACGUUGUAGAAAAACCGGCACGGCAUAUUGUUGAAAGACCAUCGUCGACGAACCAAAGUUAACCAAAGUCAACCAUGAAACAGACCACGGUGUUACUGGUUUUUACCCUCGCAAUCUUUGCGUCGGUUUUACCCGCCACCGUCAGCGGCGGAUCAUGCAAAAGCAGUUCAAAGGAUUCGAGUCAGUCAAGUUCUGAAAACCAUUCAAGCUCCGAUGAUUCAUCCACCACUAUCGAUUCAACUUCGAGUGAAGAUUCAAAAUCCGGUAGCGAUUCAAGUUCUGGAGAUGAUUCAAAAUCCGGUAGCGAUUCAAGUUCCGAAGAUGAUUCAAAAUCCACUACCAAAUAAACUUCCGAUGGCUCUUCUGGUCUGCUUUCUACACUAGUGAAGGACACCGAGUCGGGGUUGGAAUCCAUUUUAAAGUGAAAGAUUGAAAAGAAAUCUCGCAACGAAAACUCGGUGAUGUCUCAUUUUGAUACUUAAUUUAUAACGUCCACCGACAUCUCCAUAAGAUUGUUUCAUCAAAAAUUAUAAUUACACGAAUCUCUUUGUGGAGCUGCAAUUCAAAGGCCCAAUAACAGUAUGUAUAAUUUAUUCGCGUCUACACGCUACAUGGUAAAUGAAAUUUUGCUGGUGUAAUAAAUUGAUCUGACAUAGUUAUCCUAUCCGAAAAGUGUUGGACCUACUUGAAACUAACUAGCUUUAAGUAACUCUGCACUUAGAACCCGUUUUCCGGCAAGGUCGAUUCUCGAUUAGGUUAGAAUAUACAUGAAUUUAGAAUAAUUCCUUCACAUAAACAAUACGUGCCUACUCUGUAUCCUACAUAUAUCGACGUCUUGCGUAUGAAAUAGAAUUGCGGUUACAUGAAAAA